ACGCACGCUGGCGGCGUGUUUAACACAUGCAAGUCGAACGGAAAGGCCCUGCUUUUGUGGGGUGCUCGAGUGGCGAACGGGUGAGUAACACGUGAGUAACCUGCCCUUGACUUUGGGAUAACUUCAGGAAACUGGGGCUAAUACCGGAUAGGAGCUCCUGCUGCAUGGUGGGGGUUGGAAAGUUUCGGCGGUUGGGGAUGGACUCGCGGCUUAUCAGCUUGUUGGUGGGGUAGUGGCUUACCAAGGCUUUGACGGGUAGCCGGCCUGAGAGGGUGACCGGCCACAUUGGGACUGAGAUACGGCCCAGACUCCUACGGGAGGCAGCAGUGGGGAAUAUUGCACAAUGGGCGGAAGCCUGAUGCAGCAACGCCGCGUGCGGGAUGACGGCCUUCGGGUUGUAAACCGCUUUCGCCUGUGACGAAGCGUGAGUGACGGUAAUGGGUAAAGAAGCACCGGCUAACUACGUG
rnacentral:rRNA from 1 species